rnacentral:sRNA from 1 species
GAAGUGAUACUCCUGCUUCAGCCUUCCAGGUAGCUGGGAUUACAGGUGCGUGCCACCAUGCCCAGCUAAUUUUUGUAUUUUUAGUAGAGACGGGGUUUCACUGGUUGGCCAGGCUGGUCUCGAACUCCUGACCUCGGUGAUCCGCCUGACUUGGCCUCCCAAAGUGCUGGGAUUACAGGCAUGAGCCACUGUGCCUGGCCUAAAAACAUUUAUUUUUAGAUUUUAGUAUUUUUAUUUUACUAGAAAAUCUAAAUUCAUGUUUUCUUUGCUAUAGCUAUUUACUCUGGCCGAGAGCUUGGGAGGAUUUGAAAGCCUUGCUGAGCUUCCGGCAAUCAUGACUCAUGCAUCAGUUCUUAAGAAUGACAGAGAUGUCCUUGGAAUUAGUGACACACUGAUUCGACUUUCUGUGGGCUUAGAGGAUGAGGAAGACCUACUGGAAGAUCUAGAUCAAGCUUUGAAGGCAGCACACCCUCCAAGUGGAAGUCACAGCUAGUAUUCCAGAGCUGCUAUUAGAAGCUGCUUCCUGUGAAGAUCAAAUCUUCCUGAGUAAUUAAAUGGACCAACAAUGAACCUUUGCAAAAUUUUCAAGCAGAAAUUU